AAUCUUCCACAAUGGACGAAAGUCUGAUGGAGCAAUGCCGCGUGAGUGAAGAAGGNUUNNGGCUCNUNAAACUCAGUUGUUAANNNNNAACACCUUUGAAAGUAACUGUUCAAGGGUUGACGGUAUUUAACCAGAAAGCCACGGCUAACUACGUGCCAGCAGCCGCGGUAAUACGUAGGUGGCAAGCGUUGUCCGGAUUUAUUGGGCGUAAAGCGAGCGCAGGCGGUUUUUUAAGUCUGAUGUGAAAGCCUUCGGCUUAACCGGAGAAGUGCAUCGGAAACUGGGAGACUUGAGUGCAGAAGAGGACAGUGGAACUCCAUGUGUAGCGGUGGAAUGCGUAGAUAUAUGGAAGAACACCAGUGGCGAAGGCGGCUGUCUAGUCUGUAACUGACGCUGAGGCUCGAAAGCAUGGGUAGCGAACA
rnacentral:rRNA from 1 species